rnacentral:rRNA from 1 species
AGUGAACGCUGGCGGUAGGCCUAACACAUGCAAGUCGAACGGCAGCACAGUAAGAGCUUGCUCUUACGGGUGGCGAGUGGCGGACGGGUGAGGAAUACAUCGGAAUCUACUUUUUCGUGGGGGAUAACGUAGGGAAACUUACGCUAAUACCGCAUACGACCUACGGGUGAAAGCAGGGGAUCUUCGGACCUUGCGCGAUUGAAUGAGCCGAUGUCGGAUUAGCUAGUUGGCGGGGUAAAGGCCCACCAAGGCGACGAUCCGUAGCUGGUCUGAGAGGAUGAUCAGCAACACUGGAACUGAAAAACGGUCCAGACUCCUACGGGAGGCAGAAGUGGGGAAUAUUGGACAAUGGGCGCAAGCCUGAUCCAGCCAUACCGCGUGGGGGAAGAAGGCCUUCGGGUUGUAAAGCCCUUUUGUUGGGAAAGAAAAGCAGCAGGUUAAUACCCCGCUGUUCUGACGGUACCCAAAGAAUAAGCACCGGCUAACUUCGCG